rnacentral:lncRNA from 10 species
ACUUCCUUUGUGGAGAAGCCUGGAUGAGUUGAAGAGGUGUUCCCCUGGUCCCAGGGAUUCUAAUGGUUCCACUAAAAGAAGCAUGGGAAUGCCCUACACCUGCUGUUAUUCCUGCUUCCUUCCCACUUUUUCAUCUUUCAAGGUAAUCGUUAAUCUAAUCCCACAACAAACAUCACCAUAUUACUCCAGGUUGUUCUGGGCAUCAGGGAUCCAAGUGUAAAUGAGAGAGACUCAGUCUCUGCCAUCAUGGAUCUCAUGGUCACAUCUCAAAUGAGACCAAAAUGCCAUCCCCAUGUCCACAGGCAUGGGAGGACUAACUCUCGCACUCUAGCCUUGGAGCCUAUUGCUAUUCCACUAGGAAUAGCUGCUCCUUCUUCCUACCAACCCAUGUCUGGCUCACGUGAUCGCCAGAGUCCAGCUUGAAGUAGAUUUCUACCAGAGGUCCUUCCCUGAUCACUGCCCUAGGCCACUCCACUUAGCUGCCUCUAUGCUGCACCCACUGGGGAUUCAAGUGUUUCCGGGACACACUGGGUCCUUCAGUUGCUAUAAUGAUUGUAGGUUUCUUAGCUUGAUAGGAGGUUCUAACAGACCUGAAAUCUGUUUUGCUCCCUACCUUUAUGACUGUGCCUGAUGUAACAAGUACUGUUUGUUUGUUGCCCACACGAAUCUAUUGCCCUCUUCCUGGCCAGUAGAAACCAAUUUUGUUUCCAUAUUGACACUUUCCUCUGAGGCCUUCUGCUGAGGACGGGUGACUUUAUCUCUAGCCACUUCCCAGGAGGGUGAGGCAUGGAUAUUGAUUGGUCUAUGGUGGUCCCAUUCUCUUUCCUACCAUUGCUUUAAGAACAGUCAUGAGACCUCAUCUUGAUCAAUGAUAUGUAAGAGAAAUGAUGGGAUGGUUUCUACAGAAAAGAUUUCCAAUCGAUAGAAAGAAACUCAGGGGAGGAAAUGGUUCCUUCGCUUCAGUUGGAUUAGUGUCAUGUCCGCAUGGGACACCUAGAACUAUGGCAGCCACCUUGUGACCGCAAGAGACAACACCAACAGGUUGAAGCUGACAGUGAACAAUGAUGGUGUUCUUGAUGAGGUUACUUGUCAAUUACAAAAGAAAAGAAAACCAUAACAGCAGAGUAAUCUGGCAGAUGCCAAUUUAACCAAGGGAUUGAAGCUGAUGUCUUCAACAAUGAGACUAACCCCCAUCUUUGCUUCCUGAUGUGAGACUUCCCCAUGGCGCAACAGUCCUAACCCAGCAGAAACCUCAGACAAGUCCAAACCCAGGGACAUUAUGCAAAUUGACUGGCCUGUACUCUUCAAAAAUGUCAAGGUCAUGAAAAACAAGAAAAGGCUGAGGAACUAUUUUAAAUUAAAGGAUAAUAAAGAAACACCAUAACAACAGCAAUGUGUGAUCCUG